CCUCCUGGCCGCCUCACGAUUCCCCACCGCGCCACCAGUCCUCUCCCCAUCUCGCCGCGCCGCCACUCCUCUCCCAUCGCGCCGUGCCGUCACUCUUCUCCCCACAACACCCACCUAGCUCGGCUUAGACCUGUGCCUCUACCUGGAUGGAUUCAUGCGCCGGCACCCGUGGUAUCCGCCGCUUUGAAUCACUCAUGCGCCAGCAACACGCGCGGCGCUCCGCCGCGAGAAGAUGUCGUUGGGCAUCACAAACGGCCGGUUGGCGCAGGUGGUGCGAGAGGCGACUUAACCAUGCCGUCUAAGCUAUCAUCCGGCGACCAAAUCUGCAGGCCAUAGACUGCUUCGACUGCUCACUUCAGCGAUUACACGAUCCGGGGAGAGAAGCCGAUUUGUAUACCAUACACACCGAAGCUCCCAUGGUACGCAAGUACAUCUGGCCAGCGACGGCAGAAGGUCCAGCUAGCUCCACCAACUAAUAUCAGGUUCCCAUGUAGCUCUAUAUUUCAGUUUCUAUGGUUUGAAUUACAAGCCUAGCUACAAACAUACCACUUGAUGCACUGAUUAUUUGUUCGUAUGACUUAGGCACACAAUAUUCACUUGUUGUUUACUCGCAGUUUUGAUCAUCUACAUCUUUGCAGUGUCAUGGUAUUUUUUGGUUUCUAAAUUUAUAUGCUUCCACUAGUUUUAGAAAUAUUUAACUGCUAAAGAGAUCACGUGCUUCAUAUAUAUGCAAUAUGUGCUUUUCAUGUCUAGAUCAAUUGAUUGGCACUACAGCCAUGCUUCAUAAAUUCGUAUCCAUGCUUCAGUACCCAAAAUUUGUCCGGAAGCAUCCCAAUUUGCAAAAACGUAACUACUCUAGUGCUAGUGCGGCUUUACGGCGGCAAAAAAAUUCUACUCGAUUUUUUUUCUUCAACUAGUGCCAUUGUGUGAUGCUCUCAUCGUACAGUAAGUUUGCUUCAAUGGCUAUGAGUCUAUGCUUCCACCGUGUGUGUUUGCUUCACCCACAGUUUCUAACUGGUGAUUCAACAUUUAUUAGUGCUAGGGUGUGCUUCGUGUUACUAAGUGAUGCUUCUAUUAUAUAAACAUAAUUCUGCCUAACGUGAUUCUGGUUGUAUAGUCAGUGAUGUUGCUAUACUGCUGAGUACGCCGCAGCUGGGACACAAAUGCCUUAUUGAGGAGGAGCUUGCAGGCGUGGGAUCAUCUAUGAUCAGCCCAUACAACGGUCAAUAAUACUGGUUGGGAAGAAGUGAGAAAAGUGUUGUUGUAGUAGUGUUAAAUUUGUCACUAGAAGAGUUGUAAUUUUUUGUUUAAAUCAAAUAAUGUGUACAUUGCUUCGUGCUUCA